rnacentral:rRNA from 1 species
CCUUUAGAAAUGAAGAUUAACACCCCAUAAUAUAUUUAGGCCGCAUGUUUUUAUAUUAAAGGUUACGGUACAAGAUGAGUAUGCGUCCUAUUAGCUAGUUGGUAUGGUAACGGCAUACCAAGGCAACGAUAGGUAGGGGCCCUGAGAGGGGGAUCCCCCACACUGGUACUGAGACACGGACCAGACUCCUACGGGAGGCAGCAGUGAGGAAUAUUGGACAAUGGGGGGAACCCUGAUCCAGCCAUGCCGCGUGCAGGAAGACUGCCCUAUGGGUUGUAAACUGCUUUUGUACGGGAAGAAACCGCUCUACGCGUAGAGCCUUGACGGUACCGUAAGAAUAAGCAUCGGCUAACUCCGUGCCAGCAGCCGCGGUAAUACGGAGGAUGCAAGCGUUAUCCGGAAUCAUUGGGUUUAAAGGGUCCGUAGUGGGCCGGUCAGUCAGAGGUGAAAUCCUGCAGCUCAACUGUAGAACUGCCUUUGAUACUGCCGGUCUUGAAUCGUUGUGAAGUGGUUAGAAUAUGUAGUGUAGCGGUGAAAUGCAUAGAUAUUACAUAGAAUACCGAUUGCGAAGCAGAUCACUAACAGCGUAUUGACACUGAUGGACGAAAGCGUAGGUAGCGAACGGGAUUAGAUACCCCGGUAGUCUACGCCGUAAACGAUGGAUACUAGCUGUCCGGCUUCGGCUGGGUGGCUAAGCGAAAGUGAUAAGUAUCCCACCUGGGAGUACGUUCGCAAGAAUG